rnacentral:rRNA from 1 species
CCCUUAGAUGUUCUGGGCCGCACGCGCGCUACACUGACGAAGUCAGCGAGCAUCUCCUUCGCCGAAAGGUGCGGGGAAUCUUGUGAAACUUUGUCGUGCUGGGGAUUGAUUUUUGAAAUUCUUGAUCAUCAACGAGGAAUUCCUAGUAAGCGCAAGUCAGCAGCUUGCGUUGAUUACGUCCCUGCCCUUUGUACACACCGCCCGUCGCUCCUACCGAUGGGUGAUCCGGUGAAUGAUUCGGACUUCAGCGGCUCCCCUGGGGUGCGCCGGAGAAAGUUUUGUGAACCUUAUCACUUGGAGGAAGGAGAAGUCGUAACA